rnacentral:tRNA from 1 species
GGAUGUAGCUCAGUUGGUUAGAGCAUCGGUUUGUGGUACCGAGGGCCGCGGGUUCGAGUCCCGUCUUC